UCAAGAUGUGGCCUGCACCAGUGCUUCUGCUCGUCCAGUCGGCUCUGCUGAUUCAAGGAUCUUCCGCCCAGGAUUUGUUGACCCAGACGGACAAAAUCAAGUAUGUCAGUCUUGGUUGGACCGUGACCAUCAGCGCCAAAGGGAGUUCAAAUAUUGGUGAAGAUCUCAGUUGGUACCAAGUGAAACCUGGACAGGUUCCUAAACUUCUGAUCUAUGAUGCAACAAGUCGCUUUACUGGAACACCACCUCGAUUCAGUGGCACACAAUCUGGCUCUGACUACACUCUGACUAUCACUGGUGUUCAGGCAGAAGAUGUCGCUGAUUACUACUGUUUUGCCUUUUUUGACGUUGGAAGGUAUACACGGUGAUUGAGAGCUGUACAAAACCUCCUCUGGUUUGAGGGAAGUGAAAGUGGAAGAUGAUGAUGACUGGUCCACUGAACAAAGAUCACCAAGCAGAACCAGCGUCAAUCUGAACAAGUUGAUUGACUUGUAAGAAAAAGUUCAAAUGAGGAAAGAAGAAGUCACACUAACACUCAGGGCCGGCCCGUCCCGUAAACAUUCUAUACCAGGGGUCUUUAAACUUUUCCAGGCCAAAGACAAUAAAGAUGGCGUGAGGACGGCCUAGCUUGUAUAAAAUUCUAUAAUUAUUCAAAUGAAAUUGUAUUAAAUGAUAUUAUUAUUAUAAAUUAAAAUUAUACUGCCCCUAAAGGUACUUUUAAGUCUUAUACCUAAAAUAUACAUUAACUAACUCCUAAAUCACUCACAUUAAACUGAAUAUUGCGUAAAUACUUGCUGAAGGCCACUAAGGGCCACACAAAGACUAGACCAGACCUGGGCAAAUUAAGGCCGGGGGCCACAUGCGGCCCGUUGAGCUUUUCAAUCUGGCCCGCCGGACAUUCCCAAAUAAUUUUUUUAGAUAUUUAAGAUGGAAAGUGUAGCUGCCAUUAUGAUGUGCAGUCAUGUUUUCUAAUGACCGUAAGUCUUCAACUAUACAAAGUAUUUCAAUGGUUGGAAUCUGCGCUUUGGGAUGAUAUACCAGUUACUAUGGUAAUCUAAUUAGUUACAAUGGUAAUCUAAUUAGUUACUAUGGUUAUCUAAUUUGUUUCUAUGGUAAUCUACGUCACAGCAGCUCAGACGAGGCACCAAGCAGUGUGGGCGGGAAGCGUUUCCACAGACAAAGUUCUAAAGCUUAGUGAUGUAUCAGAUAUAUCAGAUUGUCGGUGGGUUUAUUUUGUACCCUUCGCGUUUAUAUUUCACUGUUGGUUGCAUUUUUGUUGCGUUUCACUUGAUUGUAAAAUAUGUCGAUCGAAAGGGGGUGUGACGUUCAUAUUUUGUCAAUAUUCAGUGUUUUAUCGUUCAUAGACAUUUUUAAAAUUCCAUUACAUUUUUUUAAGGCGGUCUGUCAUAACGUUUUUAGCAUUCAAUCAGACAUUAUUGUGAGGUUUUGUGUUAGUGUUCCUAAAAAUAGAUAUACCGGCCCCCAGACACAUUUUGUCUCUCUAAAUGUGGCCCCCGAGUCAAAAUAAUUGCCCAGGCCUGGACUUGACCAUGCUAAUGCUAAUAAGUGUCCUAUUAUAUGAGUAGGGACUCUUAUUUAUUCGUUCACUUAGCAGGCUGAAAGGUGCCAAGUUUGCUUUACA